rnacentral:misc_RNA from 1 species
AAAUAAUCCAAUGAUCACAAACAGAAUAUAUCUUUAGGGUAAAAAAUGCCUAAUGUGGCAAGGUAGACGCUAUAAUCUUCUUGGUAUGUGGCGCAGGGAGACAUUAACGCCUUGAAUUACAAUCAACAAAAAGAUCCAUGGGCUGGGCAGCAAAUAAAACAAAAACUGCCCAGAGGGGCCAGUGAGAUUGUUCAUUUGACACCACCAGUUUUCAAAAUAUACUCAGAAGCUUAUUCUGCACUAAAAUUAUGUGAUAUGAAGCUCUUAUGCCUUCUGUCCAAAUGAGUUCUCAAGGACUGGGACUCCUGGUCCAUAUAUCAAACGGCAACGCUCGCUGAAUGAACCAACCAGUCGGGAGACCACUUCCUUGAAGAACAUGGAUGCUACCUGUCUGUAAAGUGGUGAUUGGAACUUAAAAUCUACCAAAAAAAAAAGGUCACAAGUUCCUGGAACAGGUCCUGGGUUGAAUUCCCAAAUAUUUAUCAAAUGAUCAAAGAGGGUACUCUCUGACACAGUUGUCUUUAUUGACUUAGGUCUGUUCAAUUCUACAUGAGAAACAUAACUCUCAACCAGAUAUUUAAAACCAAUCUCCAGCUCAGCAUCAAAUGAUCCAUC